GACGAACGCUGGCGGCGUGCCUAAUACAUGCAAGUUGAGCGCUGAAGGUUGGUACUUGUACCAACUGGAUGAGCAGCGAACGGGUGAGUAACGCGUGGGGAAUCUGCCUUUGAGCGGGGGACAACAUUUGGAAACGAAUGCUAAUACCGCAUAAAAACUUUAAACACAAGUUUUAAGUUUGAAAGAUGCAAUUGCAUCACUCAAAGAUGAUCCCGCGUUGUAUUAGCUAGUUGGUGAGGUAAAGGCUCACCAAGGCGAUGAUACAUAGCCGACCUGAGAGGGUGAUCGGCCACAUUGGGACUGAGACACGAACCAAACGCCGACGGGGCGCAGCAGUAGGGAAUCUUCAGCAAUGGAUGAAAGUCUGACCGAGCAACGCCGCGUGAGUGAAGACGGCUUUCGGAUCGUAAAACUCGGUUGGUAGAGAAGAACGUUGGUGAGAGUGGAAAGCUCAUCAAGUGACGGUAACUACCCAGAAAGGGACGGCUAACUACGUG
rnacentral:rRNA from 1 species